CGGGACGGGUGAGUAACGCGUGGGUAACUUGCCUUGUACAGGGGGAUAACAGUUGGAGACGGCUGCUAAUACCGCAUAAGCGCACGGCAUCGCAUGAUGCAGUGUGAAAAACUCCGGUGGUAUAAGAUGGACCCGCGUUGGAUUAGCUAGUUGGUGAGGUAACGGCCCACCAAGGCGACGAUCCAUAGCCGACCUGAGAGGGUGACCGGCCACAUUGGGACUGAGACACGGCCCAA
rnacentral:rRNA from 1 species